GUCCACGCAGCCCCCAUUCCCGGCCAAGUGUCUGCUACGCUCCACCAUGGGCCCCCGCUUGCUUCUCCCACUCAGGGCGCCCGUCACACCUCCAGUCAUUUUCCGCUUCUUCAGAUCUGGAACUCGUGCUCCGGGAGGGCGGGGGCGGCACUGUCGGCUGACGGGGCCGCGCACACAGCACGGUGCCUGUGCCCGGGAGAUGCUCGACAGACAUCUGUGACUAAUGACUGAAGCGACGGGAGCACUGGACGCAGUCACCCACUGAGGCAGAGAACUCUGCUACCGCUGAACACGACCCGCAUUCAGCAUCCCUGCCGGAGGCGUACGUGUGGCCACGCACGGGAGCUCAGCAGACGCUGCGGUUUCGUGGAAGGCACAGCGGCUGGAUCACCACCACCACCUCUUGAACUAUGUUCUGAAUCAGUCUGCCAGAGCUGCUUAUCUCGGAAAUCUCUUACAUCGAUGAGUUAUUGAAUCAAGCCAGGCCAGUCUAGGAGAGCUGCAAAUCCGCUCAGGUGAUGCCUUUGUUUCAGGCAGCAAAUUUCACUGGAAUUAUGAUCACAAUUAAUAACCGUCUCUCCUGAGAGGGCACGAGGAAUGGAAUCUGCCUUCACCAAUAAUGUUGUCGCCUCUCCGGUUUGGGCAAGACAGAGCUUCUCAUCUUCCCCUCACGGCUCAUCUGGUUUUGCCCGAGCUGCUUGCGCGACCACGCUCUGAAGAGAGAGACAUGUUAUCCAUGGUGGAUGUUAAUGCACUUAACACUAGGUUAUUUACAACAAGCUGGAAACCUUACACACCCUACCCGCCAUACAGGAUAAUCACUCUGCACUGAACAACACAAUUAAAACAGGAAGUAUUUGAAGAACA